ACGCUGGCGGCACGCCUAACACAUGCAAGUCGAACGCAGUAGCAAUACUGAGUGGCAAACGGGUGAGUAUAAUGUGGGAAUCUGCCUUUUGGUUUGGAAUAACACGGGGAAACUUGUGCUAAUACCAAAUAAGCCUUUACUGGGAAAGUUUUAACGCCGAAAGAUGAGCCUGCACUUGAUUAGCUAGUUGGUAAGGUAAAAGCUUACCAAGGCAACGAUCAAUAGCUGUUCUUAGAGGAAGACCAGCCACAUUGGGACUGAGACACGGCCCAGACUCCUACGGGAGGCAGCAGUGGGGAAUCUUGCACAAUGGGGGAAACCCUGAUGCAGCGAUGCCGCGUGAGUGAAGAAGGCCCUUGGGUUGUAAAACUCUUUCGUCGGGGAAGAAAAUGACUGUACCCGAAUAAGAAGGUCCGGCUAACUUCGUGCCAGCAGCCGCGGUAAUACGAAGGGACCUAGCGUAGUUCGGAAUUACUGGGCUUAAAGAGUUCGUAGGUGGUUGAAAAAGUUAGUGGUGAAAUCCCAGAGCUUAACUCUGGAACUGCCAUUAAAACUUCUCAGCUAGAGUAUGAUAGAGGAAAGCAGAAUUUCUAGUGUAGAGGUGAAAUUCGUAGAUAUUAGAAAGAAUACCAAUUGCGAAGGCAGCUUUCUGGAUCAUUACUGACACUGAGGAACGAAAGCAUGGGUAGCGAAGAGGAUUAGAUACCCUCGUAGUCCAUGCCGUAAACGAUGUGUGUUAGACGUUGGAAAUUUAUUUUCAGUGUCGCAGCGAAAGCGAUAAACACACCGCCUGGGGAGUACGACCGCAAGGUUAAAACUCAAAUGAAUUGACGGGGACCCGCACAAGUAGUGGAGCAUGUGGUUUAAUUCGAAGAUACGCGCAGAACCUUACCAACACUUGACAUGUUCGUCGCGACUCUAAGAGAUUAGAGUUUUCGGUUCGGCCGGACGAAACACAGGUGCUGCAUGGCUGUCGUCAGCUCGUGUCGUGAGAUGUUGGGUUAAGUCCCGCAACGAGCGCAACCCUCACUUUUAGUUGCCAUCAUUAAGUUGGGCACUCUGAAAGAACUGCCAGUGAUAAGCUGGAGGAAGGUGGGGAUGACGUCAAGUCCUCAUGGCCCUUACGUGUUGGGCUACACACGUGCUACAAUGGUAUCUACAACAGGAAGCAAGACUGCGAGGUCAAGCAAAUCCUUAAAAGAUACCUCAGUUCGGAUUGCACUCUGCAACUCGAGUGCAUGAAGCUGGAAUUACUAGUAAUCGUGGAUCAGCGUGCCACGGUGAAUGCGUUCCCGGGUCUUGUACACACCGCCCGUCACACCAUGGGAGUUGGUUCUACCUUAAGGCAAGGUUUCAAACCCUUGACCACGGUAUAGUCAGCGACUGGGGUG
rnacentral:rRNA from 1 species